rnacentral:rRNA from 1 species
UAAUACGGAGGGUGCAAGCGUUAUCCGGAUUUAUUGGGUUUAAAGGGUCCGUAGGCGGAUCAUUAAGUCAGUGGUGAAAUCCGACAGCUCAACUGUCGAACUGCCAUUGAUACUGGUGAUCUUGAGUACGGUUGAAGUAGGCGGAAUAUGACAUGUAGCGGUGAAAUGCUUAGAUAUGUCAUGGAACACCGAUUGCGAAGGCAGCCUACUAAGCCGUUACUGACGCUGAGGGACGAAAGUGUGGGGAGCGAACAGGAUUAGAUACCCUGGUAGUCCACACCGUAAACGAUGAUUACUCGGUAUUGGCUUUAUUGUCAGUGCCCAAGCGAAAGUGAUAAGUAAUCCACCUGGGGAGUACGGCCGCAAGGUUG